UACGUAGGGUGCGAGCGUUGUCCGGAAUUACUAGGCGUAAAGGGCAGGCAGGCGGAUCCAUAAGUUUAUCGUUUAAGGCGUGGGCUUAACCGGCGUAGGGCGGUAGAUACUGUGGAUCUGGAAUGCGGUUGGGGAAGACAGAAUUCCUGGUGUAGCGGUGGAAUGCGCAGAGAUCAGGAGGAAUACCGAAGGCGAAGGCAGUCUUCCAAGCCGUUAUUGACGCUCAACUGCGAAGGUGUGGGUAUCAAACAGGAUUAGAUACCCUGGUAGUCCCU
rnacentral:rRNA from 1 species